AACUUCACCUAACACGCGUAAAAAAAAAAAGCUUUAACAAGACUGGUGAACUAUCUACUAGCUGUUUGUUUUGUAAAUGUAAUCAUGCAUGCAGCCUAGUGUCUUCUUCACAUGCUCCCUUUGAGCCACAGGUUGAGUGUAGUUUCAAAGGAGUCCCAAAAAACACCAACUCCCAAUUUGUCAUUCUGCCUCUCCCUCCAUCCCUCUCACAAACUCCCCCUCUCCUCCUCCCAGCUAAUCAGAGGUGCUCCAAGCGGCCCAGCGUCCCUAAGUCCCUCCUCCGCAGCCAAUCGGAGCGACCGCUAGAGGCUGUACGUCACCAGAGCUGCGUGUGAUUGGCCGAGAGGCACGGGGUCUGCAGGCCAAUGACCGAGUGAUGUGGUGAGGUCAUUAUGCUUGUUGCCAUCAGCUUGGCCAAACAGGAAGAGUGAAACCCCAGAGAAUUUGGUCCCCACCAGGACUUGAACCGCCAACACACGUCCUUACAGACUGAGCUACUGCCGCCCUACAACUGUUAUCUCAAAGACACUUUACAAAGAGCAGAUAAUGAAUCCUUAUUACUGAGGAGGCUGCACUGCCGGCUCACUGAACCACGAGGACAAUCCGGGGCCAGAAAUACACUCACACGCCCGCUGCUGCUGC